AUUGAACGCUGGCGGCAUGCCUUACACAUGCAAGUCGAACGGUAACGCGGGGCAACCUGGCGACGAGUGGCGAACGGGUGAGUAAUGUAUCGGAACGUGCCCAGUUGUGGGGGAUAACUGCUCGAAAGAGCAGCUAAUACCGCAUACGACCUGAGGGUGAAAGCGGGGGAUCGCAAGACCUCGCGCAGUUGGAGCGGCCGAUAUCAGAUUAGGUAGUUGGUGGGGUAAAGGCUCACCAAGCCAACGAUCUGUAGCUGGUCUGAGAGGACGACCAGCCACACUGGGACUGAGACACGGCCCAGACUCCUACGGGAGGCAGCAGUGGGGAAUUUUGGACAAUGGGCGCAAGCCUGAUCCAGCCAUGCCGCGUGCGGGAAGAAGGCCUUCGGGUUGUAAACCGCUUUUGUCAGGGAAGAAAAGACUCCUGUUAAUACCGGGGGUUCAUGACGGUACCUGAAGAAUAAGCACCGGCUAACUACGUGCCAGCCGCCGCCGUAAGAC
rnacentral:rRNA from 1 species